GAUGAAGAACGUAGCGAAAUGCGAUAAGUAAUGUGAAUUGCAGAAUUCAGUGAAUCAUCGAAUCUUUGAACGCACCUUGCGCCCUUUGGCAAUUCCGAAGGGCAUGCCUGUUUGAGUAUCAUGAACACCUCAACUCUUCAUGGUUUUCCGUGAUGAGCUUGGACUUUGGGGGUCUUGCUGGCCUAUGGUCAGCUCCUCUAAAAUAAAUCAGCUUGCCAGUGUUUGGUGGGUAUCACAGGUGUGAUAACUAUCUACGCUUGUGGUUUUCCACCAGGUAACCUUCAGCAGUGGAGGUUCGCUGGAGCUCACAGAUGUGUCUCUCCUCAGUGAGGACAGCUCUUUGAAUGUUUGAUCUCAAAUCAGGUAGGACUACCCGCUGAACUUAAGCAUAUCAAUAAGCGGAGGA
rnacentral:misc_RNA from 1 species